UGGGGAAUUUUGGACAAUGGGGGCAACCCUGAUCCAGCCAUCCCGCGUGUGCGAUGAAGGCCUUCGGGUUGUAAAGCACUUUUGGCAGGGAAGAAACAGCCUGGGCUAAUAUCCCGGGCGACUGACGGUACCUGCAGAAUAAGCACCGGCUAACUACGUGCCAGCAGCCGCGGUAAUACGUAGGGUGCAAGCGUUAAUCGGAAUUACUGGGCGUAAAGCGUGCGCAGGCGGUUCGGAAAGAAAGGUGUGAAAUCCCAGGGCUUAACCGUGGAACUUCACUUUUAACUACCGGGCUAGAGUACGUCAGAGGGGGGUAGAAUUCCACGUGUAGCAGUGAAAUGCGUAGAGAUGUGGAGGAAUACCGAUGGCGAAGGCAGCCCCCUGGGAUGAUACUGACGCUCAUGCACGAAAGCGUGGGGAGCAAACA
rnacentral:rRNA from 1 species